GAUGAACGCUGGCGGCGUGCCUAAUACAUGCAAGUCGAGCGAACAGACGAGGAGCUUGCUCCUCUGACGUUAGCGGCGGACGGGUGAGUAACACGUGGAUAACCUACCUAUAAGACUGGGAUAACUUCGGGAAACCGGAUCUAAUACCGGAUAAUAUAUUGAACCGCAUGGUUCAAUAGUGAAAGACGGUUUUGCUGUCACUUAUAGAUGGAUCCGCGCCGCAUUAGCUAGUUGGUAAGGUAACGGCUUACCAAGGCAACGAUGCGUAGCCGACCUGAGAGGUUGUUCGGCCACACUGGAACUGAGACACGGUCCAGACUCCUACGGAAGGAAGCAGUAGGGAAUCUUCCGCAAUGGGCGAAGGCCUGACGGAGCAACGCGGCGUGAGUGAUGAAGUUCUUGGGAUCGUAAAACUCUGUUAUUAGGGAAGAACAAAUGUGUAAGUAACUAUGCACGUCUUAACGGUACCUAAUCAGAAAGCCACGGCUAACUACGUG
rnacentral:rRNA from 1 species